ACAUAAACAGAAUCAGGUCAUUUGGAAGGCAUUUCUGUACUGGGCAAGAUUUAAAAUACUUCAGGCUUUAGGUCCUCCUGAGAUCUAGAGUAGCGGGUGUGCAGCUUCUUACUGUCAGAGCUUGCCUGCCAAAUUGAAGACUGCCUUUCAGGUAACAGAGAAGAGGCUGACAGUAGGCUAAUUUUAAAUUACACUUUUCUGUGGUUCUUUUAUUGUAACUGUCACUUUCCCAGUAACAAUGAUUUUACAUUGGGGGGAGGGGUCUUACUAGAGCUGGGUAAAGUUCCAUACAUUGCAACAAAAUGAUACCCAAUUCCAUCUUACCCUUUUUGUAUUGUGAAACUGGAACUUUAUGACAUUGUAAAUUAUCAGCUGGUUUUUCUGAAUAUAAAGUGUGAAAACACAGAACAGUAUUUUGAUCUAUUUGAUAAUUUUGUGGGUUUUUUGAAGAAUUAAUGAGCAUGUACAUAGAAAUAGUGACUGCUUGAAUCCUGUAUUUACUUGCACUCUUUCAGUACAUCAAGAUUCCUGUAUAUUUUAGAGUAUAAUAAAACACAGACGUGAGCUGUAUUUAAUGAAUAAUGUAUUUGUAUCUGUGCAUAUUACUUAAAAAUCUAUAAAGUUUCUAGGGCAUUGACUACUAGAUUUUAAGCAUUUUUCUAAAAUAUUUGCAAAAUUAUAAAUAUAAUCUCCAUCUUUUCUUUAUAAUAUAAAGGAGUCGUAAUGAACCCUUCGUAAUUAAUAGUGGGAGAAGGGUAAAUAUGCAUUUUAAAAGACCGUAGACUACAUUUCUAUUGUACCUUUUAAAAAAGAAAACUCAAGAGGAUUCUAAAAGUAUACCAUAUGUGUGCUUUCUCUUUCCUUUUAGGAAUUCUCUUCUGAAUUCCCUGAGGGAAUUUUCUAGAAUCUCAGAAUUGAAAGAGACCUGAGGUCCAUCCAGUCUAACCUCUUAAAUGCAGGAGUCCCUUCUCCAAGGUUGUCUUUCCACCUUGAACACUUCCAGUGACUACCUCACGAGCAGUCCAUUCAUUGUUGAGCAGCUCUGUUAGGAAGGUCUCCUUAAUGGAGCUGAAGCCUCCCUCCUGGUAACUUCUGUCCUUGGGCCCAGCUCUGUCCUCCAAGGGAAUGCUGGAAGGAUGACUUUCCACCCUCUGCCAUGUCUUCUCUUUCACAGGCUGAAGUGAUUUCCAGAUGGACUCAUUAGACACAUUGUCUGCACAUCUAUUGAAGUCAAAUGUGUAGCUAUAAAGUAACAAACUCAUCUUUUAAUUUAUCCUCAUAUGUAUGUAGAGACCAAGAUCCUGCAUCACUUUAAGUAAAACACUCGGGAGGUGGUUUGUGCUGUUACCAGCCGACUAGAAAAGCUGUUCCUUUGUGGUAGUUUGUCUCUAGCUUGAGCAACCCACUUCCUUUGGUGUGCACUGGAAGAGGGAAAUUUUGAAGUACUAUCCCAGAAAGUGUUGACUAACACCAGUAUUUGGAAUAAAUACAGGAGCACAGCAUAGCGCCAUACGUUACUUUAUAGUUACAUACACCUAUAGUGUGCACAAAGCAUUGGUCCUGGUGGGUCGGUUGUGUAUUUAUCCUCGCCCACAAGGGGAAAGUCUGUCGGCCUUUAAUUUCUGUGAGAAAGGUGACAUCUAAGAUAUGUGUUACAGAAAUACCAGCUUUUGCUCAGAAACAACUUUGGGGGAGAUAACGAUGACAGGUGACCUCAAACAGUGCCAUUUAGUUCAGAGAUCUCUAAAUGUAGCUGUAAAUUUGGGGUUAAUUUGGCUUCAAAUAUUGGAUCUUUUAAAUGAAAUAAAAAUUUUUAAUGU
rnacentral:lncRNA from 1 species